UUUUUUUCAGCAACUUAUGUGGUGACUUCAACUGGAGUGUACUGGAACCUCCCCUCUUUCGAAAACUUACGUGGUGGCUCCAACAGGUGCUUCCCUACUCGCCUACUUUAUAACCUUAGUUUCUUAUGUCUGACUUUGUUCUUUGUCGGUGUCCUUUGUUAGUGUUUCAUUGUCAGUCUCUAUGAUUACAUUGUGAUUCUCCUCUUCUUUAUCAACAACCAUGUUUUAUUCAUUAAUACAUUCUUCCUCUUCAAUUUCCU
rnacentral:lncRNA from 1 species